UACGGGGGGUGCAGGCGUUAUCCGGAUUUACUAGGUUUAAAGGGUCCGUAGGCGGUAAAUUAAGUCAGUGGUGAAAGCCCUGAGCUCAACUGAGGGAUUGCCAUUGAUACUGAUAUACUUGAGUGUGGUUGAUGUUGGCGGAAUGUAUCAAGUAGCGGUGAAAUGCUUAGAUAUGAUACAGAACACCGAUUGUGAAGACAGCUGACAAAGCCACAACUGACGCUGAGGGACGAAGGCGUGGGGAU
rnacentral:rRNA from 1 species